GACGGGGGGUCCAAGCGUUGUUCGGAAUCAUUGGGCGUAAAGCGUGUGCAGGUGGCUUUGUAAGUUGGAUGUGAAAGCCCCGGGCUUAACCUGGGAAGUGCAUUCAAAACUACAAAACUUGAGUAUGGAAGAGGGUCGUGGAAUUCCUGGUGUAGUGGUGAAAUACGUAGAUAUCAGGAGGAACACCGGUGGCGAAGGCGGCGACCUGGUCCUAUACUGACACUCAUACACGAAAGCGUGGGGAUCAAACAGG
rnacentral:rRNA from 1 species